GUGAGACCACAGACACCAGGCCCUCACAGCCCUUCCUGCUCGCGUCCUGACCCGCAGGCCCCUGUCCAGCCGCCCCAGGACUAGGACAGCGCACAGAUGUCCCACAGCCCCAUCCACUUCCCUGGAUGCGGUAAACGCUCCGCCUCGCCAGGCGAUCCACGCGCAGGAGGGCGAGUCCCGUCCACACGCUCUCUGGGGCAGCCCUGGACAGGAGUCCUGCUCCUUCCGGGAGGGACCCAGGCCCCGAGGUGCAGAGACCACAGCUGUCCUCAGCUGCAUGAGGACAGCCCCUGGCUGCAGAUCCCCGAGGACGCCUCAGGUCCAGCCCAGCCCGCCAGGCUGAGAUUCUCGCCCACAACAACUGUCGCCAGCUCCCUCUUCCCCUUUCUCUGAGGGCCAUCAGCCCCGGGUGAGAGAACACAUGGGGUCCUUGAGUCCCCCUGAGCCCGCCCCACGUCCAUCCCUCAGAGUCCUGUGGGUCCCACCAGCACCUCCCGCUGGGCUCCACCCCCGCCAGGAUCUGCUAUCCUCAUAGCCCUCCAUCCCCACUGUCCCCACUGUCCCCGCCUCUCCCAAGUCAGCCAGGCUCUGUCCCAGCUUUGCCUCCGGGGCUGAUGCACAUAACGGGUGCCUCUCCUCCUGCCCCACUGCUUCCUCAGUCCCCCGCGGUUCUCAGACAGGGUCCCGUGUCACCCCACACCUGCCCCCCCUUUUUCUAUUCCUCCCCCUCACCCCCAGUUCAGCGGCUCCAAGCGCUCCGCUCAGGCCGUUAAGCGAUACUCGCGCUUCUCCCUUUGGUGAUCUCAGCAUCUGGGGGCUUCGAUUUGACAUUUCAGUGGAGGGCUCCAGGGUGUAACUUCCCGCCUCCCCCAUCCUGCGGCCCCGCAUUCCCAGCUGCCCUCUGGGAACGGACCCCCCGGCUCUCGCUGACACCUGUCACCCGCCGGGAACGGGCCCCCCGGCUCUCGCUGACACCUGUCACCCGCCGGGAACGGGCCCCCCGGCUCUCACUGACACCUGUCACCCGCCGGGAACGGGCCCCCCGGCUCUCGCUGACACCUGUCACCCGCCGGGAACGGGCCCCCCGGCUCUCGCUGACACCUGUCACCCGCCGGGAACGGGCCCCCCGGCUCUCACUGACACCUGUCACCCGCCUUACUCAGGGAGGCCCCCAACUGCACCCGCCAUGGGUCUCCACACGUCCCUGUUCUUCUCUUCCCCGGGCGCUCUGUGCCUUUCUCCGCAAGCUCACUGGGAUGGCUUGUAUAUAUCUAGAACAUUGUUUAGGGAAAGUAACAGGUGCCGGGCGGAGGUGGAGAAACCGGAACCCUAAUUAAUGCAGGGGCGCGGCGAGCGUAAAUCGGGUGGCAGUUCCCCGGAAAGUGAGCCCAGAAUCGCUCACUGAGCCGGCGGUCCCAGCGCCCCGCGCGCGGGAAGAAGGACCCGGCGACGCCAGCGCGGUGUGCGCAGGCCGAAGCAACGGAAGCUGGGCCUUGGAGGGUGUGCGCCCUGGCGUCCACGCCGGCGCUAUCCACACUCGCCAGUACAGCCGCAGGCUCCUGAGGUGUGGACGAGGGAAGCCAAUAAUUAGCAUCAGCUCUGGCGCUGAGUGAGGACCCUAGUGGCAGGUGUGGGCUGCACAGACGGAGGAAGGAGCCACGUGCCCAGGAGGGUGGGCGCCUCCAGCAGCUGGAAAAGGCAGCGAAACGGGUUGAGUCUCCAGGAAGGAGGGGGCGGGGGGGGGGGCUCAGAUCCACGUCAGAGUUCUGACCCCCCAGGAUUUAACGAUCCCAAUGAACCUGCUGCCGGAAGUGUCCCCCUCUGCGCUCCUGUGUUCCGGCAGAGGAGGAGUCUCAGACGCCUGGUCUCCCAAGCUUCUGGAAACGGAUUCCGGUGCCAACCUCUCCUGACCAGCGUUCCGACCUCAGUCCCUGACUCUCAUACCACACUCUGACCACCAGUGCCCGGAGCCCAGCCUGGCCGCCUUCUGGAGGCCUGGGCCCCAUCUCUGCGGCUCUGCAGGGGCCGGGGGCUUGUGCGCAGCGCUGGUCCCAGUGUGGCCGGGAUACAGGAUGAAGGACGACCUUCCCAGGCGUCACUGCAUCUCUGCAGGAGGCAGGGCUCGGCGCGGUGGUUCUCCGGUGUCCUUUCUCUCAGCACAGAGGGAUGGAGGGGCCACGCUCAGACUUCUCUUCAGCAGUUGUGCGCCCCCCCCCCCCCCACUGUGUCCGUCUCCCCCGGAGCACUGUCCUCAGCACGAAGGACAGGAAGGCUGCCUGCCAGGGCCCCCGCCUCCUGCCCGGAGUACGGAGCGUCCUCGUUGCACUUUUUGGCACUCGGCUUGCCAGACUCGGCCGUGGAAGGCGCUUCUGAGCCCGGCGCUGUGCUUCCCGAGGGGACCCGGCGCAUCAUCAGCUCUGUCUUGCUCUCCGGAUUCAGUGGAGUCCCAGACUCAUCUCGUGUCCCUCCUGCCCUGGACCAGGAACCCACCUUUUCUGCAAGAGUUCUUUUACCGGGGAACCGUAUUUACAGAACAAGAUGUGCAGGUUAUGUGAACUCAGGAUACUGGGCUUUUUUGUUCCUUAGGGAGCCAGUUAACACUCAGGGAGGAUGGGUAGUGUGCUUUCACGGGGGUAUUCCCAGCCUCGAUGUGAUGUCCUGUCCUGUCCUCUCCUCUCUCCUCCCCUCCCAUCCCCUCCCAUCCUUCUUCUAGGAAGCCUCAUGUCUAGCAUGGAGCCCAGUGCAGGGCUUGAACUCACAACCUUGAGAUCAAGACCUGAGCGGAGAUCAAGAGUCGGAUGCUUAACCGACGGAGCCAUUCAGGGGCCUCAAUGGACUUUUUAGGUUACACUUGUAUUUCUCCUACUUCAAAUCCCUGCUCCUGAUAAAUUAACGUAAUUACAUUUUCGCUUCGCCCUGUGGCUUUGUUGUUAAUCGGGUGUAAGCGUAUCUUUACCUUGACGUGUUCAUAUUCGUGUCAGAGUGUGCUCUCCCCGUCUUGUAUGAUUUAACUGUGUUUUGGAACGUGCAGGACGUUCGUAGGUUUCAAAAGCGAAAACUCCCCGAAUUGGGACAUUCGAGAUGACCCUCCUCACCCCCUCCCCUUUGCCCCACGCCCCCACAUAGUGCAGGUGGCUAUUUUUGUUACUUCCGGGUUCUCAGAUGGAACGCAUGAUCCGUGGAAAGGGAAGUCCGCAGACACAUCCUGCUACUUACCUCCUUUCUUGGAUGGAAGUCAGCCCGUUCCAGCUAUAGCUUUGUACCCCACUUUCCACUCUUCCAGCUUCCUGUGAAAUAAACCGCCACGAACUCA